CCUUUAAACCGCUGCAAAUAAAUUAUCAUGCUUUUAAUCCCCAAAACCCUCAUUCAAUUCAUUACUCAUUCCACCGUCAAAGCUUCUCUCAACCUUCAUCUCCCUUUUUCCUCAAAUCCGUCGUUCUCACCAGUGCGAUUUCGGCUUUCUCAGUCUCCGUCGUCCUCACCGAUGUUGCUGCGAGGUAGGUUCUCACUAACUGUAAUCUUGCGGUUGCGUUCUCCUCCGCUCCUCCAAACCGUUUCUUUUCCAUCCUUUCUCCAUAGAUCUGUUGCAAGUAAUCUCUCUCUUUCUGUUUAUAGAUAAAUUUUGCUUGAUUUGAACAUGUUUGAAGUUCUAUGGUUAAUUGAUUUGAUGAAUAUAAUUGGGCUAUUUAAUACUGAUUCAUAAAAAGAAAAUUAAAUUAAUAAAAUUUGAAAGAUAGAAUGGAUUAACAUGGACUCCACAUCUCUGCAUCACCCUUUACUGUUCUUUGCUUCAUUUUCUCAAGCAUGUCGCUCAGAGCAAAUUCGCUCACAAAGUGAGGGAGUAAGUAAAUUAGGGAUUUUGCUGAUAAAUUUUGUCUAAUUUAAAAUUGAUAUCUAUUGGCUCUUAAUAAGAAUUUAAUUGAUCAAAUUUCACACAAUGGUGGAAGAAGACACAUUUUUCUUAAUAAGUUUAGGGGUUACUUCUGCCAAUUAUGAGGAUAUUGAAAGAGAUAUCUUACUCAAGGUAAUUCUUCAUUGCCAAAUUGAAUUUUUAUUUGGUUUGACUAUGCUAUGCUUUGAUAUUAUACAGCGUGGGGUUUUGUUAUUUUGUACUCGUAUUACAUUUAGGCCAUUUAGCUAUAAAUUGCAAACAAAAUAUAGUGAUUUUAGGCCAAUAUUAAUGUGCUAAAUUUUAUCUAUCAUUAUAUAUACGAUGUUACAUUUUAACCUUAUAUUUGUUCUUAGUGACUAGCUUCUUAAUAGUGCAAAUCAUGCUUUGGUUGUCAAGUACUAUUAUGACUUAGGAAAGGGAUAAGCUCGUCCAAAAAGGGUUUGUACACCUUUUUACAAGUUUUAAUGGCUUCAAACACCAAAUACAGCAACCAGGGACAUCAAGCCUACUGGGUAUGACAUAGUUGAUCGAGAUUUUGAGAGUGUUGUUGGAGUGGUUCAAUCUCUAACAUAUGCUCGGCAAACUCAUCCUACAUUGUGUUUAAUUUUAUUAUUAAGCUUUAUUUGUGCUAUUGAUCUUAGUAUUGCUAAUUGUCUUGAUCUUGAUCUUUUUUUUCUUGCAAAAUUAUAUUAGAAGGUCAUAGUCUCAUAGACCACUUGUUACCUUUGUAUUUUGGUGCCAAGUUCAAGAAUCCCACAGCUGGUGUUGAGGUCUGAUAGGAGAUGAUUGGCCAUGAUGUGGUCUAAAGUUGGAGUACAAUGAAAUGACUUUAGUCUUUAUUGGAUAUGGAUAUUUAGUCUCCUGCAACGUUUGUUAAUGGAGGAUCAUUUUUAGCUGCCUACUUGGCGAUGCUCGUGCUCCUGCAUGCUUGACAGUAUUGGUUCUACAGCCCACUUGACGCCAGUGCUGCUAUUGCUCACUUGGCUCCAUGUUUCUGCUGUUGUUGUUGCCUUAAGCCUUCUAUUACUUCUUUGAUCAUCAGAUCACAAAGUCUUUUACUGGUUUCUAUUACUUACCAUAUGGUGCUGAUGUGCUCUAACUAUAGUGAGUUAAGCCAUUGAAAGGUCCAACGCGUCCAAUUGUAUUUUUUUUUUAAUGAAAUUUUAUAAAAACAAUUUUUAAUUUUCAAAAUAUUCAAAGUUUGUAUACAAUAUAUAUAUAAAUCCUUUUCUUGUGUGUUAAAUGUAAGGUGCAAUUUUUAA